rnacentral:rRNA from 1 species
UACGUAGGGUGCAAGCGUUAAUCGGAAUUACUGGGCGUAAAGCGUGCGCAGGCGGUUUCGCAAGUCAGAUGUGAAAUCCCCGGGCUCAACCUGGGAACUGCAUUUGAAACUACGAGGCUAGAGUGUGUCAGAGGGGGGUAGAAUUCUACGUGUAGCAGUGAAAUGCGUAGAGAUGUGGAGGAAUACCGAUGGCGAAGGCAGCCCCCUGGGAUAACACUGACGCUCAUGCACGAAAGCGUGGGGAGCAAACAGG